GACGAACGCUGGCGGCGUGCUUAACACAUGCAAGUCGAACGGAAAGGCCUGCUUUCCCUUGUGGAUUGCGGGUACUCGAGUGGCGAACGGGUGAGUAACACGUGAGAGAUCUGCCCCCAACUUGGGUAUAAGCCUGGGAAACUGGGUCUAAUUCCCGAUAGGACUGCAGGGUGGUGCCUGUGGUGGAAAACGAUUUUCUAGUGGUUGGGGAUGAGCUCGCGGCCUAUCAGCUUGUUGGUGGGGUAAUGGCCUACCAAGGCGGCGACGGGUAGCCGGCCUGGGAGGGUGGACGGCCACAUUGGGACUGAGAUACGGCCCAGACUCCUACGGGAGGCAGCAGUGGGGAAUAUUGCACAAUGGGCGGAAGCCUGAUGCAGCGACGCCGCGUGGGGGAUGACGGCCUUCGGGUUGUAAACUCCUUUCGACCGCGAGGAAGCCACCUGGUUGGAAGGGUGGUGACGGUAGUGGUAGAAGAAGCACCGGCUAACUACGUG
rnacentral:rRNA from 1 species